rnacentral:rRNA from 1 species
ACAACGAAGAGUUUGAUCCUGGCUCAGGAUGAACGCUAGCGACAGGCUUAACACAUGCAAGUCGAGGGGCAGCGGGGGAGAAAGCUUGCUUUCUCCUGCCGGCGACCGGCGCACGGGUGAGUAACACGUAUGCAACCUGGCCGUCACAGGUGGAUAACCGGAAGAAAUUCCGACUAAUACAGCAUAACACUCCUGAGGGACAUCCCUUGGGAGUCAAAGGAGGCAACUCCGGUGGCGGAUGGGCAUGCGGCGCAUUAGGUAGUUGGUAGGGUAACGGCCUACCAAGCCGACGAUGCGUAGGGGUUCUGAGAGGAAGGUCCCCCACAUUGGAACUGAGACACGGUCCAAACUCCUACGGGAGGCA